rnacentral:lncRNA from 1 species
ACUCCGCCUGUACGGACCUCCUGACACGGAUGGAGCGCGUGGCUGGAGGCGGCAAGGCCACCACGUCGUGCUCAAGCCGCCUGCUCAAGAGACGCAGCUUCCGCACCGGGUUUACUACGAAUGGCCACCCGGGAAUGCAACGGUUUCCGACCCUUGAGAGGUUUUCAACACUCAGACAAAGCUCCGUGUCAAAUCGAACAACCUGUUCUGAAGCAGGGCCAACGCCAUCAUCAAGCUCUUCAACCUCGAGUCUACUCAAUCUGCCCAGCAUCAUCGCCAAAAAUCCAAGCUAUGGAAACUCCACCUGUAUCUCAAGCAAUAAGCUACCAUACACAGUUCAGGUUGGCAGUCUUCCACUCAAGUCGAAGGUAGAAGAAUAGUUUCGGUUGGGUAUUUCAUUACCAAAAUCCGUAAACUUGAGCGCCAUGAUCGCCUGAAGGAUACGCGUGGCACAUUUCGAUUUGUACAUGAGCUAAGUAGUCCUUAUGUUCUUGGCUUAUGUUGGUGUGAACGCACUGCAGUGAAGAACGGGUCAUUUCAACUAAACACUGGAAGUAAACCAAAAUCAACGAAGCAGCUGCAAUAGCCACGUUAUGCACCGGAAAUGGGUAAUUCAGCUCAAUAGAAGAAGUAUUCUCUCUCGUGAACAUUCCUUGCAUGUCGUCGACAGCAUUCAGCAAAUAGGAAGAGAACGUAAGGCUGAAGUGAGAAGACAUUUUGCUUUCUGAAACGGUCACGGCUGGAAAAGAAGAGCACAGAAUGGUAUGCAAAUCCGGAAACUACACUGAGGAUGGAUUGCUGUACAUAACUGUCGUCGUCGAUGCUGGAUAGGCCCACCGCAGUUAGGGCCACCGAUACACGUCAAGCUCAGGUGUUGCUGUCAUCAUUGGGUCACAAACAAAUAAAAUCCUAUACCACUUUUUUUGUAACAAGUAUUGCAGUACUUGUUAUUCUGACGUGAGCAAGAACGAAACUCCACGCAAUCAUGCCUGCUUCAAAAGUCGGACGGGCCUUCAACUGCUAUGUAGUCUGAUGUCAUCGUUGAAGGAUUUUGAGAAAGCCGCCAGAUUCAUGGCCUAAAUACAGAAGAGUUCUGGGGAAGAAGAUUCCAAUGUCGAAAAGGCCCUCAAAACCAGUGCUGAAAAUUGAAGGAUGAUUACAAAGGAGGCUUGGCAUUAACCACGUCAUUAAGAACGACAGCAGGUCACACUAUGGCAUUAGGAGCUUAAGAGAAAGUCCCGCAAAGAUUUGACAAAUGUUAAAAUAUAACGAUUGACAGCCGCGGCAAAGGGAGCUAUGUCUGCAACCCAUGCGCUCAAGCAGACAACUGAAGAGCUCGCGAGCAAUCUGCGAAAUGGAUUGAGAUAUGUAUUUGGAACGCAUGACAACUGCUCCCCUUACUACUGUCAACAGCACCAGCAGCAAGCAUCAACCACAUUUGAAGAUGUACCGUACACGCUACAAAAAGACCUGAUGAGGACUGCAAAUAAUCUCGCCGACAAAGCUUCUUCGCUUCUGAGAACUCUACAAGUAAUUUGGCGGAAAACUACAUGUCUGUAGUCUCCAAAUUUUCUGGCGGAAGAGUAGGUGCUGCGUUCUCGCAGUACCGACGUCAGGCGACACCAAUAUAGAAGUUGUCCAACGGGAUGAGGAAUUCUGGAAUUAACACAUGCUUCUACGCCCGUUGCGGCUUUCCUUUCUAAUGAAAAGGCUACCGAUGCAGUGCAGAACGUACGGGCGUGUGCGCCUGCCUCCCCAUGACACACAGAAUACCUUUGCCGAGGACAAAUUACGGUACACAACAAUUGGCACGUAUAAUACGUGAUAUACUACUCAAACAUUCAAACAUGCAAGAAAUUAUUCCAAACUCUGGGUCUAAUUGCAGGUAGAACUAAUUAUUCAAAAAGUACCUUCUAUUAUGCGCUACGAAAUACAUAUUUAAACACAUAUCUGUAAUAAAUUAAAACACUUUUUUGUAUGCCUGUUAUAAUUCUAUUGUUUACAAAAUGCCUUCUCUUUGCCAUAUAUUCAACUACCUCAACGAUGUUUUAACUACUGUAUAAAAGUGUGUACUUUUUCAUACUCACUGUUUAUUGUUGGCAAUUUCGGUGUGUCUGUGUAUGUUUUUUUUUUUU